rnacentral:misc_RNA from 1 species
CCCCAGGCUAGAAGUAGAACCUUGUCAUAAAAUACACUUGAUAACUCUGAAUGGGCCAAACUGAGUGCCCACAAACGCAGAUAUGAAGCCGUAUUAGAUACUGCUCCAAGCACGAACUCUAUGGNNAUAAGCUGGUGAACAAAGACCUCACUGAACUCAAAUUCCUCAUGUUUAUGGGAAUCAUAAUGGGGCUCUAUUUCAAGAGGGUCAUCAGUCCUGUCAACCAGGGCAUAGGAUUGACCUUGGUGCCUUUCCUCAUGUUGCUUCUUCAAUAGAAAUGGCUUUGGAAACAGCAUCCAUGGUACAGCAACAAGGGCUGACAGUAGCAACAAAAGCUGAAGGAAUUUCUGGCCAAGAAAAAGUUGGUUGUCACCCAAAUCAUCAGUAGGACUCAAAAACAUGUAUAUCAUCACAUGGUAUAGAUCAGCUUGAGAGCCAGUGCACCAUUUCACAAUUAUCAGAAGUGAAAGGUAACCAAACAAGCUGUUCAAGAAAAUCAUCUGGGGAACAAAUUGGUACCAGAUAUUUAGUUUAUCUCCAAAGAACUUUG